GGGAUGUGAUGAGUGGAUGGUUCUCGCAAUGAAAGAUGCGAGAUGGGUGUCCGCCCCAAAAGCCUGGUUACGACAAUCGGACGCUCUAAUCUUAACCAAUCUGAUCCC